AGCAGCCGCGGUAAUUCCAGCUCCAAUAGCGUAUAUUAAAGUUGUUGCAGUUAAAAAGCUCGUAGUUGAAUUUCGGGAUCGACAGGUUGGUCGCGCCUUCGGUGUGUACUGGUCUAGUCGGUUUCUCCCUUCUGACGAACCACGAUGUCAUUAAUUUGGUGUCGUGGGAAAUCAGGACUGUUACUUUGAAAAAAUUAGAGUGUUUAAAGCAGGCAUUAGCUUGAAUACAUUAGCAUGGAAUAAUGAAAUAGGACGUUUGAUCUUAUUUUGUUGGUUUCUAGGAUCGACGUAAUGAUUAAUAGGGAUAGUUGGGGGCAUUAGUAUUCAAUUGUCAGAGGUGAAAUUCUUGGAUUUAUUGAAGACUAACUACUGCGAAAGCAUUUGCCAAGGAUGUUUUCAUUAAUCAAGAACGAAAGUUAGGGGAUCGAAGACGAUCAGAUACCGUCGUAG
rnacentral:rRNA from 1 species